UCGCCCCGUAUCUCUGUUAUCUCUGCAAGCACGCAGGAAAUGGAGACGUUGGCCGUAGGUGCUUCCAGCCUCUUGUGCAGAUGCAGCUUUAGGAAAGUUUAUGAACACGUUGAAAAUACCCAGCUUUCAGUAAGUAGCGCCAUAGCAGACGAAACCGAUUUCGUUGCGGUGAAAUGCCAUUAUUAAAAGACGUCUAGUUUUAACUAAGCAACAUGUGUACGCUAUUAUUUGGUUCAGUUUUUAUUGUAAUAAUGUAUUAAUAGUGGAUGUCCUUCACUCGGUUCUGUCAACUAGACCCGCCCCCCUGCGCUUGCAGGUCGCAGACUCGGCUUUCCGCGCCCCCGGCCGUCCACAGUCCGUAGAAAGAGAAGGAGAAGAGCUGCUAUACAGUUUUUACAAUUCGAAAAAGAAAAGGAGCUGAAAACGUGUUCCGACACGGAGCAAUGUCACAACAGAACCAGGUUUAGACUUUAUUGAGCCAUUAAUGAGAAGACAGAGUAAAGACUUGCACUACAUCUGAAGUGAACAAAAAAUGUCUUGCUAUUCUGUUCCAUAGCACUGCGUUCUGCAGAUUUCAGAUUAGAUUUUUUAGAAGAAACGUCAGCCUCCCUUCUCCAACAUCCAGCACAGGGCACUGAUGAGCAGCAUUUUACCGAGGCAGAGAAGUGGUGUGCUGAGAACAUUUCUGUGUUCAGAGGGCACAUCUCACUCCCUUUAUUACUGUCAAUGGACAAAGACGACAUUGAGGAGGCCCUUCAGAAAUCUGAUUUGCUAUCUGAAUAUCUAGAAGAAGACGAGAGGGAAUAUGUCCUUAGACCCUUCAUCAUCUUUUAUUUCACAUAUAGAAGACAUGCAUCUGUGUUUAGAUAAUGUGAGAGGAAAAAGGAAAAUGACUGUGUUUUGUGAGAAAAUGUAACAAACAUACAUGGCCCUCAUUGUUCAGG